GACGAACGCUGGCGGCGUGCUUAACACAUGCAAGUCGAACGAAGUGGCGAACGGGUGAGUAACGCGUAAUCAACCUGCCCUUCAGGGGGGGACAACAGUUGGAAACGACUGCUAAUACCGCAUACUGAAGGAGGGGAUUGCGUCUGAUUAGCUAGUCGGAGGGGUAACGGCCCACCAAGGCGAUGAUCAGUAGGCGGGCUGAGAGGGUGAACGGCCACAUUGGGAAUGAGAAACGGCCCAGACUCCUACGGGAGGCAGCAGGGGGGAAUCUUCCGCAAUGGGCGAAAGUCUGACGGAGCAACGCCGCGUGGGUGAUGACGGCCCUCGGGUUGUAAAGCUCUGUUAAUCGGGACGCGGUACCGGAAUAGAAAGCCACGGCUAACUACGUGCCAGCAGCCGCGGUAAUAC
rnacentral:rRNA from 1 species